rfam:Daucus carota subsp. sativus cultivar DH1 chromosome 6, whole genome shotgun sequence.
GGGGAAGUAGCUCAAUGGUAGAGCACCGGUUCGAUUUCAUCUUCUUACAGAAUGUGUGAAAGUUUCUCGCAGAAACAAAGAUCGAGGUUCGAUUCCUCGCUUCUCCA